rnacentral:rRNA from 1 species
ACACACUGCGGAUGCUAACGUCCGUAGUGGAGAGGGAAACAACCCUGACCCUCAGCUAAGGCCCCUAAUUCAUGGCUAAGUGGGAAAGCAGGUGGGACGACCAAAACAACCAGGAAGUUGGCUUAGAAGCAGCCAUCUUUUAAAGAUAGCGUAACAGCUCACUGGUCUAAUUUAAGUUAUCCUGCGGCGAAGAUGUACCGGGGCUCAAGCCAUGAGCCGAAGCUAGGGAUGCAAUUUAUUGCAUGGUAGCGGAGCGUUCUGUGAUAUAGAACGCUGCGUCUUUAGUAUCUUAGGAUAUUGUGGACGCAAUGUUCUGACUGUGAAGCCGGCGCGUAAGCGAUCCGGUGGAGUGAUCAGAAGUGAGAAUGUUGACAUGAGUAGCGACAAACAGGGUGAGAGACCCUGUCGCCGAAAGUCCAAGGGUUCCUGCUUAAAGCUAAUCUGAGCAGGGUAAGCCGACCCCUAAGGCGAGGCCGAAAGGCGUAGUCGAUGGGAACCAGUUUAAUAUUACUGGGCCAGGAGAUGGUGACGGAUCGAAAGCGUAGUGACUCCUUAUCGGAUUGAAGUUGCUGCCGGACGGUUCCUGGAAAUAGCCCUCCAUUAGAUCGUACCCUAAACCAACACAGGUGGACUGGUAGAGAAUACCAAGGCGCUUGAGAGAACUACAUUGAAGGAACUCGGCAAAAUGCCUCCGUAAGUUCGCGAGAAGGAGGCCCCAUCAGAAGGCAACUUUUGGUGGGGGGCACAGACCAGGGGGUGGCGACUGUUUACUAAAAACACAGGGCUCUGCGAAGUCGUAAGACGACGUAUAGGGUCUGACGCCUGCCCGGUGCUGGAAGGUUAAGAGGAGGUGUGCAAGCACUGAAUUGAAGCCCCAGUAAACGGCGGCCGUAACUAUAACGGUCCUAAGGUAGCGAAAUUCCUUGUCGGGUAAGUUCCGACCUGCACGAAUGGCGUAACGACUUCCCCGCUGUCUCCAAUGUAGACUCAGCGAAAUUGAAUUGCCUGUUAAGAUGCAGGCUUCCCGCGGUUAGACGGAAAGACCCCGUGCACCUUUACUACAGCUUCACACUGGCAUUAGGUCAGACGUGUGCAGGAUAGGUGGUAGGCUUUGAAACUCGGACGCUAGUUCGGGUGGAGCCUCCCUUGAGAUACCACCCCUGUCUGUCUUGAUGUCUAACCGCGGUCCGUUAUCCGGAUCCGGGACCCUGUGUGGCGGGUAGUUUGACUGGGGCGGUCGCCUCCUAAAGAGUAACGGAGGCGCGCGAUGGUUGGCUCAGACCGGUCGGAAAUCGGUCGUCGAGUGCAAUGGCAUAAGCCAGCCUGACUGUGAGUCUGACAAGACGAGCAGAGACGAAAGUCGGUCAUAGUGAUCCGGUGGUCCCGAGUGGAAGGGCCAUCGCUCAACGGAUAAAAGGUACGCCGGGGAUAACAGGCUGAUACUGCCCAAGAGUCCAUAUCGACGGCAGUGUUUGGCACCUCGAUGUCGGCUCAUCUCAUCCUGGGGCUGGAGCAGGUCCCAAGGGUAUGGCUGUUCGCCAUUUAAAGAGGUACGUGAGCUGGGUUUAGAACGUCGUGAGACAGUUCGGUCCCUAUCUGCCGUGGGUGUAGGAGACUUGAUGGGAGUUGCCCCUAGUACGAGAGGACCGGGGUGAACGAUCCACUGGUGGAUCUGUUGUUGCGCCAGCAGCAGUGCAGAGUAGCUAUGAUCGGACAGGAUAACCGCUGAAGGCAUCUAAGCGGGAAGCCCCCCCAGAAACAAGGUCUCCCUUGA